rnacentral:sRNA from 2 species
AUCUAUUAAGAGGUUCCUGAUGGGAUCCUUUUUUUAUUUGCCGUAAAAGGAGAAGCCCUGUAACCGAAAGGUGGAAAAAAAUAUG